AUUGAACGCUGGCGGAAUGCUUUACACAUGCAAGUCGAACGGCAGCACGGGGGCAACCCUGGUGGCGAGUGGCGAACGGGUGAGUAAUACAUCGGAACGUGCCCGGUCGUGGGGGAUAACGUAGCGAAAGUUACGCUAAUACCGCAUACGAUCUGAGGAUGAAAGCGGGGGACCUUCGGGCCUCGCGCGAUCGGAGCGGCCGAUGUCAGAUUAGGUAGUUGGUGGGGUAAAGGCCUACCAAGCCGACGAUCUGUAGCUGGUCUGAGAGGACGACCAGCCACACUGGGACUGAGACACGGCCCAGACUCCUACGGGAGGCAGCAGUGGGGAAUUUUGGACAAUGGGCGCAAGCCUGAUCCAGCCAUCCCGCGUGCAGGACGAAGGCCUUCGGGUUGUAAACUGCUUUUGUAUGGAACGAAAAGGCUCUGGCUAAUACCUGGGGCUCAUGACGGUACCGUAAGAAUAAGCACCGGCUAACUACGUG
rnacentral:rRNA from 1 species